rnacentral:rRNA from 1 species
UGUGAGUGAAGAAGGCCUUCGGGUCGUAAAGCUCUGUCAAGUGGGAAUAAAGUCCCUCGGUGAAUACCCGAGGGAUCUGAAGGUACCACUAAAGGAAACACCGGCUAACUCCGUGCCAGCAGCCGCGGUAAUACGGAGGGUGCAAGCGUUAUUCGGAUUUAUUGGGCGUAAAGAGCGUGUAGGCGGUUGGGAUAGUCAGACGUGAAAGCCUUCUGCUCAACAGAAGAAGUACGUCUGAAACUGCCCAACUUGAGUACGAGAGAGGAAAGUGGAAUUCCCAAUGUAGAGGUGAAAUUCGUAGAUAUUGGGAGGAACACCUGUGGCGAAGGCGACUUUCUGGAUCGAUACUGACGCUGAGACGCGAAAGCGUGGGUAGCAAACAGGAUUAGAUACCCUGGUAGUCCGCGCUGUAAACGAUGGGAACUAGGUGUAGCGGGUAUUGAUCCCUGCUGUGCCAAAGCUAACGCAUUAA